UGGCUUGCAGCAAUGCCAGAUCCUUAACCCACUAAGCGAGGCUAGGAAUGGAACCCACAUCCUCAUGGAUACUAGUUGGAUUUGUAACCCAUGAGCCACAAUGGGAACUCCCAUAAUUACCCAAGUUUUGAUAGGCAUUGACUCCUCCUUAGUCACGGAGAUCCACUACAACCUCCAGGCCUGCUCUUGAUUGUCUCAGAAAUCCCACGGUGAUUAGUACAGUAACCCAGACUGAAGUCAAUCAGGGAAUGGCUUUCUGCCAGUCACAGGGCUCAGGUGCCAGCAUUAGCAUAAUUCAUGAGGGUGAAAUUGGAGAGGGUUUUUCAUGGGGGUGACAGGAACGAAGUCUUCUGAGUUUUUAUGAGAGAGAAAUCAAGAAAAAAGAAAGUUCUUCUCUGCUCUGCCACACAUCUCGAUUUGUGGACAUGUGAAGCUUGGUACUUCCAGAGGCAUUUUGCAACCAUAAAGGAAGCUGGCUCUGUAGCUAAGCCCAUGUCCCGUAGCUGAGGAGUUGCAGAGAAAUCAGUCCAGCAUUGUUGUAUUAAAAGAGCUGAACUCAGUCCUGCCACUGGGUAUCCAGCUAAACAGCUAAGCAAAUAUAUGUCCUUCAGAUUUAAUUCAUUUGUGAUCUUUUUUCUAUUGUUUAUAUUACAGACAUCCCAAGGCAUGAAGCUUUAAUUGCAACAUCAUUACAAACAAUGACCCUUGCAAGCAACUUUGAAACAGAGCAUGUGAGCCACAAUGAGGUACUUUGUGUUUACAUGUCUGGGGAAAAAAGCAAUCUUAAUUCAGAUGUGCUCUCAUGUACUGAGCUACAUAACUUCCCACGGGUGUAUAAAAUGGCUGAAAGACUCGUUUUGUUAGUGCAAAGGAUGGCAGCUGAAAUAAAAAGGGGGAUGAAUGGGGCAAGACAUCUGCUAGAAAUCAGCCUGGAAGCAAGAACUAACAGUAUUCCAAAGUGGUUUUUUACUUCUGCAGAUUUGGCCAUUGACAGUUGGACUUGGAUCCAAA
ensembl:lncRNA